rnacentral:rRNA from 1 species
CCUACGGGAGGCAGCAGUGGGGAAUUUUGGACAAUGGGGACAACCCUGAUCCAGCCAUGCCGCGUGAGUGAAGAAGGCCUUCGGGUUGUAAAGCUCUUUCGGCCGGAACGAAAUCGCGUACGUGAAUAACGUGCGUGGAUGACGGUACUGGAAGAAGAAGCACCGGCUAACCACGUGCCAGCAGUCGCGGUAAU